rnacentral:ribozyme from 13 species
UCUUCCUCUUUCUUUUUUCUUUUUCUUUUCCCUUUCCUUUUCCUUCCACAAUAUCUACUCCAUCAAUAUCCAUACCAUAAGAUAUGUGAUUAAAGUGUGCGUUAGAUUGGAAAUGAAAAGAG